rnacentral:rRNA from 1 species
AUGAUUUAUAAUUUUUCUUUUGUGUCACAUAGUGUCAUUCUAAUGCCGCAUGCUGCCUGUAGUCCGGCCAAUGAUGAUCUCCCCACUUCAUCGAGCGGGUCGUUGGCUCCAUCGGAUGUAGACUCCAUCCCGACCGCCUCCACCCCUCGUGACACCGAGGACGCUGAGGAGGAAUCCCAAGAAGGGACCCAUCAGGGGGAGGCUCCGGAGGCGCCACAAGGCGGCCUCCCGGACUUUGCGCCGGACUCCACGUUGGAACCCGCAGUGGUUCCGGAGUUCGGCCAGUGGCCCCUUCGCAAUAAGGGCAAGACCGUGACGCCAGCGGCUUCCGUCCAACCGGAGGCACCGGACAAUUUGUUGGAGGCGCUCCAGAGCGCUUCCGUCGAGGAAGAACACCGCACUAUUAUGAGUGCGGUGAUUCAGAAGGUACAGCUCGCCAAGAGCGGGCUGACCGAAGCCUGCAGUAGCCUUCUAUCAGGCUUUGAGGUAAGAAGUUAA